rnacentral:lncRNA from 1 species
GAAGUGCUCGGUUUUGAGAUCAUGCUCCAUACAGGAUCUUGAGUCUCUAAUAAUCUCUUUCAAGAGCUGAGCAUUGUUUGUGUGUUGACAUUCAAAGAUUCUAUUACAUGUCUCCUUCCACAUCCACCAAAUAGCGCAUCUGAAAGUAACCUUUGUCAGUUGUGUAAGUGGCCCUUUUCUUGAGAAACAUUGCAUAAGGUCGCCUAGUUCUUGGUGCAAGUUUGGUUGCGGCAGUCUAUUGAGUUCAAAUCGCUGGAGAGUCUCCUUCCAUAUCCAUUUUGUAUAAGCACAAGCAAAAUAGAGGUGGUCAACAGUUUCUUCUUGUUGCAAACAAAGGGAGCAUCGGUUAAUAUGAUAGAUAC